GCGAGUUUAACUCCCUAUAACCAUUGUGAACGAACUGCUAUGUUGCUUCGGCAGAGCAGGUCUUACAGGCUCAACGAGUCCUGGGGCCUCCUGCCGACAGAACGUAAACUCUUGUUAUUAUUAUUUCUCUGAGUAGCUUAUUUAAUAAGUUA
rnacentral:misc_RNA from 1 species